GUCGCGUAUCGAUAUAGUAUUGUGUUUACAUAUAAAUAAUCAAAUUUAUUUCACGAUAUUUACAUCUUUUUCUCUAAUACGUUCGUUUUUUAAACAGUUUCUAUUACACAAUAUUAAUAUUCAAUCAUAACUGUAUUUCUAACCAAAAAUUUUAAUUAUAUAUUAAUAAUACAAAAUUUGUUAAAAUGACCCCACCUAUGGAAAGGAUCCAAAUUUUAGAAAAUAUUGAAAAAGAUAUUAUUGUGUGUUUACAAAGUGCAGGUCAAGCAUUUAUGGAAUUAAGUAAGGAAAAAUCUAGUUUAAAACAAGCAGAAGCUCAAACACAUCAAUUUCUUAAAACUCUAGCUCAUGUGGAAUCGAAAUUGAGCGAGCAAAUCAAUUAUCUCACUCAAGUUUCAACAGGUCAACCACACGAAGGUUCUGGAUAUGCAAGUCAAAAGGUUUUGCAAAUGGCAUGGCAUAGGUUGGAACAUGCUCGGAGCAGAGUUAAUGAACUGGAGCGUAUAAAAAAUAAGCCAAGAUGAGAAAUUUAUCUAUUUAUAAAAUUUCUACUUUCCAGGAAAUAUCAACGUGUAUAUCAUAACAUGGUAUGGAACUAUCCAUAGCAGCCAUGCUACGUUUUACAGUAGCAGCUAACGAAAGUCGAGAUCUUCUUUCUUCAUCUAAUUGUUUAGUAAGUAAUGACAUUUGUGACUGUAGGUCUGUCAUUUGAUUUUUUAAAGUUUUUACAGUUUCCGAUAACGACCUAAACAAAAUACAACAUUAGAAUGAAACGAAUAUAUUCAUAAAUUAGAAAUUAAAAAUAAAGUAAAAUAAUGUACCGGUCAGCACUACUAUCCCAAUUCACACCCUUCUUGUGCAUCAAUGAUGCAUCCCGUGUUCUUUGCCAUUCGACAUCCAUCAUAGCUACAAUUUAAAAUUUAUUAAAAUAAAUGUAUAAUACAUACAUACAUACAUACAAAUAUACAGUAUGCGGCAAAACAAACAGUACUAAAAUUACAAAUACGUUUUAAAAAUUAAGAUAUGUCAUAACAUGCAAAGUAACGAUGCCAACACAUAUCUUAUUGCAUUGGUAAAGCAUGUGUUGAAAAUAUGUAUCCUCAUGGCUCAUACAUUGUUCAUAACAUUGUCGAUAAGCAUAGGUUGCAGUACUAUUUGUUUAGCCGCUUAUUAUAUAUACAUAAGAAUAUAUAAACUUACAAUUAGACUCGUUAGAAUUCAUGGUAAAUCUACUAUUGACAGAAAGACAAUAACUCUCUAUUAUUUUUAAAAUAAUUGCAUCUUCUUCGAAUUGACGGUUAUCUGUUAAAACAAGAUAUCGUAGUAAAUUACAGAGUAUUACCUAAAUAUUAUAGUUCAUUGAUUAUAUGCAUGCGUAUAUGAUAUUUACCAAAUGUCUUGAGUGUAUAUAAAGGCGGGGCUGGACGUAACGAAGCAAUACUCCAAGGCGUCUUAAUCCCUGGAGAUAAACAAUGAUCCGCUGCCGACCGUUGGCGCUUCCCGUUCGUCUGACUGUUCAUCUAUAGAAAAUAAUUUAGUUUAAACAUUAACUUUAAAAAUUUUAUUUUUUUAUUUAAUCUACAACGAACUAUAUGAAGCAUUUAUGGAGCACACGCCCUACCUACAAAAAAAUAUACUAAACUAAUAAACAAAGAAGUGGGCACAAUGCAUAUUCAUCAUCAAACGAAUGUAAAAAGGAUGAAUAAUAAUAAUUAUGAUCGUUUCUA
rnacentral:misc_RNA from 1 species